GAAGCCAAAGUCCGUCCGACACUUCACGUCCGCAGUAGAAAUAGGGUUCGCGUCAGGCACGAACGAACAUCCACGUACAUUUUCCGCGUCACUCUUGCCCACGCACACGCUACGAAGACGGUUCUCUCUGCUGCAGGGAAUGAGAAAUCGCGUGCUAGAGCCGGAUUUCCGGUUACAGACAGUUUGGAACAUGGAGGAAACGAGGCUGAAGCUAUUCGAUAUCACGCUAUUACACGGAGAGAGGGCCCUUUGAAGAUUAGGGCUGACAAGACCAUACCGACCACCCUAAUUGUGAAUUAUCGAUCGCGAACUACGGUGUUGGAGAUAGUCACCUGUUUCAACCGUGGCCCAUGUUAGGUUUCCACAAUGUCCUCGUUGUCGCUAACAACAUCUGCGCACUAUCAUGCUUGAAAUGGCAAACCUCUUGAGCCAAUAAUCUUGUCAAUCCCGUGCGCGUUACGUGAUCUUUCACGCACAUCACGACGUCGAAUCAAUUUUCCCGUGGACGUCACCGAUAUCUUUUCUUAAUUGAAAAACGACUUCUGCAGCAAUGAACAAAACACCGUUUGCGUCGUAAAAGAAGCAGAAAACAGUGCAAAUUCUUGUUUUUGUCUUACCAAAAGCCAGAUCAAACGAAAAAUACUCGUUAUCAAUUUAUAAAAUUAUUUUAC